CCGCGUGAAUUUCACUGAUGCAAGGCACGUAAACAUGAAAGUUUUGUCUGAUGUGGAGUCCCUAACAUUAAUAUUUUAUCUAUUUAUAUUGAUUUUAUUUCAAUUAUACCCUAAUUUAAACCCCAAUUUCUCUCUUCUUUUCAAAUUUCUUCCUUUCUUUUUCAAUUUCUCUCUUCUUCAACCUUUCAUGUCAAACUUCUCCAAUUCUUCCAUAGCAUCUGUGGAUGAAGGUUGAUAUUGUAGGUGUGGUGAUGACGCAUUAUUAAAGACUUCAUGGACCUAAUUAAAUUCAGGGCAUAGAUUUUUUACUUGUAGAAUUUCAAAGAAAAUCGGUGGUUAUGACUUAUUUUUUUGUAUGAAGAUCGACAACCUCACAAGAAAACAAAGUAAUGUGGGGAUUGUUGAAGGAAGUCAAUGCUUUUGAUGAAAUGUUAAGGCGAGCAGUAAAUAUAUUUAUUGUUGGUGUCGUUUCUACUGGGUUGCUUAUGUUUGGAAUAUGAAAAUUGAAGCCUAAUUGUUAGUAUUCUUGAUGUGUUCGGUCUAGUACUGAGCCAAACGAUGUUUGAUGUAGUAGUAUUUAGAUGUUGUCGCUGUAAAUUUUUGAUGUAAUUGUGCUUUUGAAUUCAAUGAAAUUCUAAGUUUUAGUAGUA